UGGUGGAGUGAUUUGUCUGCUUAAUUGCGAUAACGAACGAGACGUUGACCUACUAAAUAGCCCGUAUUGCCCCGGCAGUACGCCGGCUUCUUAGAGGGACUAUCGGUGUAAACCGGUGGAAGUGCAACUCAAUAACA
rnacentral:rRNA from 1 species